rnacentral:rRNA from 1 species
GCAUAACGCGAAGAACCUUACCGGGGCUUGACAUCUUUCUGACCGCCUGGGAAACCAGGUCUUCUUCCUUCGGGAAGACGGAAAGACAGGUGGUGCAUGGUUGUCGUCAGCUCGUGUCGUGAGAUGUUGGGUUAAGUCCCACAACGAGCGCAACCCUUGUCCUUAUUUGCCAGCCUGUUUACAGGCGUACUUUAAGGAGACUGCCGUAGAUAAUACGGAGGAAGGUGGGGAUGACGUCAAAUCCUCAUGCCCCUUACGUCCCGGGCUACACACGUGCUACAAUGGUCUGUACAGAGGGUAGCCAAGAAGCAAUUCGGAGCCAAUCCCUAAAAGCAGGCCCCAGUUCGGAUUGGAGGCUGCAACUCGCCUCCAUGAAGUCGGAAUCGCUAGUAAUCGCGGAUCAGCACGCCGCGGUGAAUCCGUUCCCGGGUCUUGUACACACCG